rnacentral:lncRNA from 1 species
GUACGAAGUAAGAUGUAAAGUUAAUGCUAAUCAUGCAUUUUUUAAGUAUUUUUUGAUAACUUGUAAAUGAGACAUGUUAUGGUUCUUUGACACAGGUUAUUAUUUUAUGCCCCGGAGCAAGUUUUUAUUUGAAACUCUAGCACUGUUCGACGUUGAUUCUUCUAUCGAAUGACGCAAUGUGUUUGAAAGAACAAACUCCAUAUACAUUUUAUGGUAAUAAGGGAAA